rnacentral:rRNA from 1 species
UGGCGAACGGGUGAGUAACGCGUGAGUAACCUGCCCUGGAGUGGGAGACAACAGUUGGAAACGACUGCUAAUACCGCAUAAGCCCACGGCCCGGCAUCGGGCUGAGGGAAAAGGAUUUAUUCGCUUCAGGAUGGACUCGCGUCCAAUUAGCUAGUUGGUGAGGUAACGGCCCACCAAGGCGACGAUUGGUAGCCGGACUGAGAGGUUGAACGGCCACAUUGGGACUGAGACACGGCCCAG